GCGUGGGUGACAGAGUGGUCAAUUGUACUUGGCUGUAAACCAAGCGCCCUAACGGGCUACGGGGGUUCGAAUCCCUCCCCACGCA
rnacentral:tRNA from 1 species